UACGUAGGGUGCGAGCGUUAAUCGGAAUUACUGGGCGUAAAGCGUGCGCAGGCGGUUCGUUGUGUCGGUGGUGAAAUCCCCGGGCUUAACCUGGGAAUGGCCAUGGAAACUGGCGAACUGGAGUGCGGCAGAGGGGGGUGGAAUUCCGCGUGUAGCAGUGAAAUGCGUAGAUAUGUGGAGGAACACCGAUGGCGAAGGCAGCCCCCUGGGUUAACACUGACGCUCAUGCACGAAAGCGUGGGGAGCAAACAGG
rnacentral:rRNA from 1 species